rnacentral:rRNA from 1 species
GUGGGGAAUAUUGGACAAUGGGCGAAAGCCUGAUCCAGCCAUGCCGCGUGUGUGAAGAAGGUCUUCGGAUUGUAAAGCACUUUAAGUUGGGAGGAAGGGCAGUAAGUUAAUACCUUGCUGUUUUGACGUUACCGACAGAAUAAGCACCGGCUAACUUCGUGUCAGCAGCCGCGGUAAUACGAAGGGUGCAAGCGUUAAUCGGAAUUACUGGGCGUAAAGCGCGCGUAGGUGGUUUUGUAAGUUGGAGGUGAAAUCCCCGGGCUCAACCUGGGAACUGCCUCCAAAACUGCAUGACUAGAGUACGGUAGAGGGUAGUGGAAUUUCCUGUGUAGCGGUGAAAUGCGUAGAUAUAGGAAGGAACACCAGUGGCGAAGGCGACUACCUGGACUGAUACUGACACUGAGGUGCGAAAGCGUGGGGAGCAAACAGGAUUAGAAACCCUGGUAGUCC